AUGCCGGCGUGAGUAGCGGCACGUGGGUGAGAAUCCCACGCACCGAUGGCCCAAGGUCUCCAGAGGAAGGCUCGUCCUCUCUGGGAUAGUCGGGACCUAAGGCGAGGCCGAAAGGCGUAGCCGAUGGACGACGGGUGGAUAUUCCCGUACCCGAUGUGUGGCGAUGGAGUGACGGAGAAGGCUCAGGCAACCAGCUGCUGGAAUAGCUGGGGCAAGCGAGAUACCUACGCACCAGGGAAAUCCGGUGCGCAUAAGGGGAAGGCGCGAUGCAUACGGAAAGCUUCGGCAAGUACGGAAAAGCUGAGAGCAGGCUUCCAGGAAAAGCUUCUAGCACAACACACAUCGGCCCGUACCGAAGAUGGACACACAUGGGCAAGGAGAGAAUCCUGAGGUGAGCGAGAGAACUAUAGCUAAGGAACUCUGCAAAAUGACCCCGUAACCUAGGGAGAAGGGGUGCUCCAGAAAUGGAGCCGCAGUAAAACGGCCCAAGCGACUGUUUACCAAAAACACAGCUCUCUGCGAAGGCGCAAGCCGAAGUAUAGGGGGUGACGCCUGCCCGGUGCUGGAAGGUCAAGGGGAGCUGUCAGCGCAAGCGAAGCAGCGAGCCGAAGCCCCAGUAAACGGCGGCCGUAACAAUAACGGUCCUAAGGUAGCGAAAUUCCUUGUCGGGCAAGUUCCGACCCGCACGAAAGGCGUAACGAUUUGGGCGCUGUCUCAGCUGUAGACUCGGUGAAGUCUUAGUACCUGUGAAGAUGCAGGUUGCCCGCGACUAGACGGAAAGACCCCAUGGAGCUUCACUGCAGGUUGACAUUGGGUUUGGAUGCAUGAUGUACAGGAUUGGUGGGAGGCUGUGAGCCGUGCGCGCCAGCGUACGGGGAGCCGCUGUUGGGAUACCACCCUUCAUGCAUCUAGGUCCUAACCGGAGGCAACGGGCCACGGGACAGUGUCAGUCGGGCAGUUUGACUGGGGCGGUCGCCUCCCAAAGAGUAACGGAGGCGCCCAAAGAUACCCUCAGCAUGGAUGGAAACCAUGCAUAGAGUGCAAAGGCAUAAGGGUGUCUGACUGCGAGACAUACAGGUCGAGCAGGGACGAAAGUCGGGCUUAGUGAUCCGGCGGAUCCGAAUGGAAGGGCCGUCGCUCAACGGAUAAAAGCUACCCUGGGGAUAACAGGCUGAUCUCCCCCAAGAGUUCACAUCGACGGGGAGGUUUGGCACCUCGAUGUCGGCUCAUCGCAUCCUGGAGCUGAAGUCGGUUCCAAGGGUUGGCUGUUCGCCCAUUAAAGCGGUACGCGAGCUGGGUUCAGAACGUCGUGAGACAGUUCGGUCCCUAUCUGUCGUGGGCGCAGGAGGUUUGAGGAGAGCUGCCCCUAGUACGAGAGGACCGGGGUGGACGGACCGAUGGUGCACCAGUUGUCACGCCAGUGGCACAGCUGGGCAGCCAAGUCCGGACGGGAUAAGCGCUGAAGGCAUCUAAGCGUGAAGCCCCCUCCAAGAUGAGACCUCCCAUUGGCGACAAGUAAGGCCCCUCGAAGACGACGAGGUUGAUAGGCCGCGAGUGCAAGCGCAGCGAUGUGCUUAGCGGGGCGGUACUAAUAGGCCGAGGACUUGGCC
rnacentral:rRNA from 1 species